rnacentral:rRNA from 1 species
GAUGAACGCUGGCGGCGUGCCUAAUACAUGCAAGUCGAGCGAACAGACGAGAAGCUUGCUCCUCUGAUGUUAGCGGCGGACGGGUGAGUAACACGUGGAUAACCUACCUAUAAGACUGGGAUAACUUCGGGAAACCGGAGCUAAUACCGGAUAAUAUUUUGAACCGCAUGGUUCAAAAGUGAAAGACGGUCUUGCUGUCACUUAUAGAUGGAUCCGCGCUGCAUUAGCUAGUUGGUAAGGUAACGGCUUACCAAGGAAACGAUGCGUAGCCGACCUGAGAGGGUGAUCGGCCACACUGGAACUGAGACACGGUCCAGACUCCUACGGGAGGCAGCAGUAGGGAAUCUUCCGCAAUGGGCGAAAGCCUGACGGAGCAACGCCGCGUGAGUGAUGAAGGUCUUCGGAUCGUAAAACUCUGUUAUUAGGGAAGAACAAAUGUGUAAGUAACUGUGCACGUCUUGACGGUACCUAAUCAGAAAGCCACGGCUAACUACGUG